UAACCUAAAAUAUGUGCUGUAUACUGUUAAUGGGUGACGUCACUUACACGAAGCACAAAUUAACUGAAUCUAACAUUAGUUCAAAAGUGCUUUGAUCUUUCAUGGUAAAUGAAUAUUCAUAAAAAAAAAAAAAAGUUCUGUGGUUUCAGGAAUGAUAAUAUAAUCUUUCUACAAAGGAAGAGAAGCUCCAAGAUUUCAAAAUUUCUGAAGGGAGCUGCUGACAGAAAUGCAGGAAACACAGAUUAUGAUGGCCGUGCAGCAGAGGAGCGCAGAGUCUCCUGUCGGACAACAUCUCUAAGUCGCUAUGAACCAUGUGACUAGAUCCUAUGUACCCAGCCUCAACCAUUCAUCAGAAGGACUGUGAAAACGGAAAAUGAGAAGUUUUUGAAAAGAGGGGCAUUUCCUUCACCAAGUAAAAGUGUGGAGGAUUCAUCUGUCCUUCAUCGGCCCCCAUGAGGUGACUCGAUGUAGAAUAAAUCAACUUGCUUUAGGCUUGAAACGACUGAAAUCUUCUCGUGAGUUGAAAUCAUUUUAAACAUUCUUAAAAGUACUUCUCAUUUCUUGUGAAUGUAUUUUGUAGUACGUGUAAAACUUUUCCAAUGAAAGAACCUUUUUACCUUUAUUGAUACUGUAAUCAAGGUUGUUAAUGCUAUGGACU